UGCUUUGCGCAGUGGCAGUAUCAUAGCCAAUGAGGUUAAUCUGAGGCGUGAUUAUUGCUAGUUGGAAAUUUCUUUGAUAGGUACAC
rnacentral:snRNA from 1 species